rnacentral:lncRNA from 7 species
AAGACAAAACUCCACGCAGCCUGUGCUGUGCAGUCGGGUUGCUCCUCAGAUGGGGAAAGCGGAAAGGUUCUGAGUCUGUGCUGUCGGUAUGGAUGGGAACUCAAGUCCUGCUUGUAGCCAGCUGUGUGGUCUUGAAGGUAUCCAGCAGCCAGUGGUAGCUGCAGGUCAUCAGGGAGUGCUGUCAGUGAAAGAGAAAAAAGGCCACGUGGACUUCAUACCCUGAAAUACAGCAGAGCAAUCCCCUAUCUCAUGACCAUCAAGCCAAGAGGAGCAAUUUACAGACUUUGUAGAAAGAGAUCAGCUACAGCACAAACUCCACAGGACCCCAUGUGACUUAAUUCCAAGUGCUAAACUGGAGAUAUUGUACCUGAAAAAAGCAAUUAAAAUUUCUAGUCCUU